GGCGGCCGCGAGGGGCUCCCGUGAGGGGCGGGGGCGGCUCGGGGACCGCGGCUCCCGGCGGGAGAGGGAGACGGAGCUCCCGUGAGGCGACGGCGACGAGCGCUCUCCUUCUGAGGUGGCCACCCCUCCGUACGGAGUUCCGCGCCUCUCUACGCGCUCCGGCGCUCUGGGACCCCGCGCAGUCUAGCGGAGCGCGGCCCUGCCCGUGUUAUGUGAGCCUGUGGUAGCUGCUCCAGCGGCAGAGCUGCCCUCCAGGAACCCCCUGCUCGCUUGAGCCCAAUGGGAUUGCUGAAGAAAAGAGCGGAAGAAGUGACAGUGGCUAAUUCAUUGCGAAGAACAUCCUCGUGUGAAACAGUAUUUUGCAGUACAUUAAACUUCUGAGGCAUCUUGCAGCAUCUGCAGAUACAGUUUCAUGGACCAGCCACCGUUAGUAUGCCUUGUGUCGUUCCCUGUUCAGAUGGCCUUUACCUGCAGGUCAGAGCAAGGGAAAUGAAACACACAAACAAAAUGCAGAAAAACAAACCCUGUUUCAUCCAGUCACUUAAAUAAAUUGACUGUUAUUCACUGCAGUGCACAGGUGUGUGAAGCUUAUUUAAGCAUCCUCCAGGGCCAAGAUCCUGCACUCGGGCAGCACCUCCAGAAUCCUCAGCUCCAGUGAAGAAGUCCAGGAGUCCACGUCCAGGAUAAUCCCCGGCACCAGCGUUGUAAUGAGGGAGCACAGACCUAGUGUGCAAAAAGUUAUGUGGAAGGGGGAUCCUCCCGCUUCAGAGACACACCGUGAACAGAAAGGAUAAAUCAGCACCUGGACAAAGCACCUGAACAGCAGUGGCCAGGGUAAUUGCUACUGAGCUGCAGUGCUGGCUGCUGGCUCCGUGUCAGGCCAUCCUUCCACACGUGGAUUUAAUCACCCGGCUGAGGAGGCUUAGCCUCUAACAUUGACUGUGAAGCCUGCCUGGCCAGCACACGCCUUUCCCAUCGGAAAUCCAAAGGAUUGCUUGCAAAAGCUGUGUCCUGCAGCCAAAUCAAUUCCUGCCAGUGUAAGAUUUAAGAAAAUAAUUUCUCUUGCUGACUGUGCUCACCAGAAGCCUAAGACCCCGGUGAGUAAGGAGCCCAGAGGCGUUAUGUUAUCACUGAUGGUGUCACACAUGGUGACUUCCAGUGACAGAUUUUUGGCUUUUUCCUGGUAUUUAGUCUCUGGUACUACAGCAAAGAUACCGUAGUGGUGUCCACCUAUCUCAGAGUCAAAUCUUAAUACCUUUUCUACUCAAGAAAGGGAGUAGCAGAAUCACUUGUAGAGGAGUGUGUUUAUUUAAGUGCCAAAUAUGGAUCUCAGCAAUUCAUUCCAAGUGAAUCAGUAUUCACAUCUUUUGGCAAUAAUUUGCUCAUUUAACGUUUGUACACAAAGAGUGUAUUAUGCAGCACUUACAUUCCAUCUAUUAUUUCAGUCAUGCCUUCACUGAUACAUAAGGUUGUCAUCUAACAGCUGACACUUAGCUACAGUUCCCUCUUGCGUCCACUUAGUAUUUUUAUCUCAUUCGUAGUUAUAAUUAUUAUGGCAAGUACAAGUUGUUCUGCAGUGACAGCACUGGUUUUUUGUGGCAGUGUUUAUUUAGUUAGAAUGUGGCAGUAGCUGUAUCAUGUCCAUAGCUCUGGAAAUCAAAGUCAUUGAUAACAAUAUUCACUUCAGCAAAAUAAUGUUAUAACAAAAUAAAAUUGUAUGUAAGGUACUAAGCAGUUAAAGGCACUAAUCCAGAUAUCUUUUUUGAAGAAUUUAUUUCUGCAAAGAAAAAAAAUUAUUACCAGGGAAUUGGAUGCAAGUGUUUGAAAACUUGAAAAAUGUACACACCUGUUAGAACCAAAGCAAAUGCUUUUAGGGGUUGUGUGUUAUUGUUUGGUUUGUGUUUUGUGGGGUUUUUUUGUUUGUUUCUCCUAAGGUGGAUGUACACUGUUCUAAAAGACAGCUAUACACUUUGUAAAUAGAUAAAAUCAUAAUAAAAGGUAGAGCUUUUUACUAGAAAUCCAUCGCCAGAGUAUUUUUAGGUCCUAGUUCCUUCUAAUUUUACUGCAUUUAUUUGCUUCUUUAUUAACAAGCAGAAAAAAGCACAACCAUAGGAGUGUUACAACUUUUCAGGCAAAAUAUAUUCACAACAUUUUGUCAUCUCCCAGUUUUACAGAAAUAUAGAUGUCAAAACCUCAAAAUAGAAAUAUGUAUUUAUUCACAAAUCCAGCUUUUUUAAAUAUGGGAAUUUUCUGGAAUACUUAUAUAUAUUGAGGGGGAGGGGAAAGAGUGAAAAUUGAAAUAGGUUUGUGUUUUAUGGAUAUGGGGCAUUUUUGAUGGCAUGCCAGUAGCAUCAAAAAAGAUGAAAAAAAUGCCUAAAGGAAACACUCCAUCGCCUCUUUAAACUGGAUGUUCCACAA